rnacentral:rRNA from 1 species
UACAGAGGGUGCAAGCGUUGUUCGGAAUUAUUGGGCGUAAAGCGCGUGUAGGCGGCAUGGCAAGUCGGGUGUGAAAGCCCUCAGCUUAACUGAGGAAGUGCGCCCGAAACUGCCGUGCUUGAGUGCCGGAGAGGGUGGCGGAAUGGAUGGUGUAGCGGUGAAAUGCAUAGAUACCAUCCAGAACCCCGAUGGCGAAGGCAGCUGCCUAGACUGUAACUGACGCUGAGGCACGAAAGCGUGGGGAGCGAACAGG